CAUGUACUCCCUCUGUUCUGAAUUACUUGUCUUAGAUUUGUCCAGAUACGGAUGUAUCUAGACUCAUUUUAGUGCUGGAUACAUCCGUAUCUAGACAAAUCCAAGACAAGUAAUUCGGAACGGAGGGAGUAGUAU
rfam:Triticum aestivum genome assembly, contig: Triticum_aestivum_CS42_TGACv1_scaffold_055354_1BS